CCUAGAAGUUUCAUUUACAAAAACAACACCAAACGCGGCCAUAAACUCUAUAUAUAGAUCCCUUUAUUCUUUGCUGUUUGUAUAUUCAGAUCUGGCUGGUCUAGGUUUGUGAUAAUAAUUUAGCCGGUGUCAUCCGUAGCUGGGGUCCAGACUGAAUCGGGUCGGGUCUAAUAUCGCCACCCCUGUUACAUUCCAUGGCGUUGCGGUUUGUUAAUGCUUCCGGACGCAGAGACUCACUUAAUCUCCAUCUCCAAGCUGGUGCAGGGAACUCAAACUGCGACAUAUGCGAGUACGCAAUCCACGGCCAGUGCUACAGAACAGCGGGUCACGAGUAUAAAAUUUGCCGCACAUGUUUUGAUAUAUUUGUACAACCCAUCUCAGACUCAAAUAACCAGCUCGAUUCGGCUCCACAAUCCGUGAAGCAGCUGGUCUCUUCCAAUGUGCAUAUGAAUGUGUACAAUGGGAUGAGUCACAGCCUUUACAACGACUUGAGGGGCAUGAACCUGACAUGCAAUAUGUGUGGACGUGCCGGAAAUAGGGCUCGGUGGGCAUACGUUAAUACCUACAACAGAAGUGUUUAUGCAUGUCAUAUUACGUGCGUGGUGCAGAAAAUGGGAGCGAAUCAGAGAGAUGAUUAUUUUAAUUACGAGACCAAUCCGUUUUGGAAAGCUGUGGGGAGACUUAGCUUAAAAGCACUUCAGGAACUAGCGAAUCUGGCGCCCUUUCCGUUUAACUCCGGAAUCAGUAUUAUGCUCAUGUUGACGGCUUACAAGGUUCACACCAGGACUUGAUUGUGCACUGCACUCAUGGAGGAAGUUACAAGUUAUGGCUGUAUAAGAAAUUUCUUCUAUUUUGGGUUUUCAUAUAUAUUAUAUUUUUGUUAUCGGUUUCUUCUGGGAUUUCUAGCCUUCUUUGCCCAGAUGUAUUUUCUUUUUUGAAGGCAAAAAAAGUGAGAUUAACAUUUUUUAUGUAUAAUUAUUGUUUGAUAAGAUUUGAAUUUUCUAGAA